UGCCAGCCGCCGCGGUAAUACGGAGGGGGUUAGCGUUGUUCGGAAUUACUGGGUGUAAAGCGCACGUAGGCGGAUUAGUAAGUUAGGGGUGAAAUCCCGGGGCUCAACCCCGGAACUGCCUUCGAUACUGGCAGCCUAGAGAUCUGGAGAGGCGAGUGGAAUUCCGAGUGUAGAGGUGAAAUUCGUAGAUAUUCGGAGGAACACCAGUGGCGAAGGCGGCUCGCUGGCCAGAUACUGACGCUGAGGUGCGAAAGCGCGGGGAUCAAACAGGAGUAGAUA
rnacentral:rRNA from 1 species